rnacentral:rRNA from 1 species
AAUAGAUACCCAGGUAGUCCACGCCGUAAACGAUGGAUACUAGCUGUUGGGGGCGACCUCAGUGGCUAAGCGAAAGUGAUAAGUAUCCCACCUGGGGAGUACGUUCGCAAGAAUGAAACUCAAAGGAAUUGACGGGGGCCCGCACAAGCGGUGGAGCAUGUGGUUUAAUUCGAUGAUACGCGAGGAACCUUACCAAGGCUUAAAUGUAGAUUGACAGGUUUGGAAACAGACUUUUCUUCGGACAAUUUACAAGGUGCUGCAUGGUUGUCGUCAGCUCGUGUCGUGAGGUGUCAGGUUAAGUCCUAUAACGAGCGCAACCCCUGUUGUUAGUUGCCAGCGAGUCAAGUCGGGAACUCUAGCAAGACUGCCAGUGUAAACUGUGAGGAAGGUGGGGAUGACGUCAAAUCAUCACGGCCCUUACGCCUUGGGCUACACACGUGCUACAAUGGACGGUACAGAGAGCAGCCACUACGUGAGUAGGAGCGAAUCUAUAAAAACCGUUCUCAGUUCGGAUCGGAGUCUGCAACUCGACUCCGU